GGCUCGGUCGCGCGGUACGCAUCUGCACUCAAUUCACAGGCUUGAGAAGUUGAGCAGACCCCGCCUGUUCGACUCAGGCCCGAGCCA